rnacentral:rRNA from 1 species
AUGAUUUUCUAUUGGAUGUAUAGUGUAAAAAAUGAUCAUAUAUAUUAUGCAAGGAGGGAGUACAUGCAAAAACUAUGUACUGCACUAGUUCGGUUGUUUGUAUGCUGCAGUGCAGUCUGUCUGAGAAGAAACACAUGCACAACUGUUUGUUACAAGCAUGUUCUCCUAGCAUGGGAUGGUUGUCUGGUUAGGUGCGCAUGGAUGCUUGAUCUCACAUUUCGUCCACGUCAUCUUAUCUCACGCCACCACAUUUCAAGAACAUCGUCUAUGACAGUUGAAAUAAAAAAUGUACAUCAUGAGAGUUGUGUGGAACAAAAAGAUGAAGCUAGUGGUCAAAGAUAA